rnacentral:rRNA from 1 species
AACGAACGCUGGCGGCAUGCCUAACACAUGCGAGUCGAACGAGACCUUCGGGUCUAGUGGCGCACGGGUGCGUAACGCGUGGGAACCUGCCCUUAGGUUCGGAAUAACUCCCCGAAAGGGGUGCUAAUACCGGAUAAUGUCUUCGGACCAAAGAUUUAUCGCCUUUGGAUGGGCCCGCGUUGGAUUAGCUAGUUGGUAGGGUAAAAGCCUACCAAGGCGACGAUCCAUAGCUGGUCUGAGAGGAUGAUCAGCCACACUGGGACUGAGACACGGCCCAGACUCCUACGGGAUGCAGCAGUGGGGAAUAUUGGACAAUGGGCGAAAGCCUGAUCCAGCAAUGCCGCGUGAGUGAUGAAGGCCUUAGGGUUGUAAAGCUCUUUUACCCGGGAUGAUAAUGACAGUACCGGGAGAAUAAGCGCCGGCUAACUCCGUG